CUGAAGUGAUCUGCCCACCUCGGCUUCCCAAAGUGCUGGGACUGCAGGUGUGAGCCACUGCGCCUGGCCCCUUCAGGUGGGUUUUGAGGCUUCACGUUGCUGCUGCAAUAAAUUACCACACACUUAGUGGCUUAAAACAGCACAGAGGUAUUCCCUUACAUUUCUGAAGGCCAGAAUUCUAAAAUCAGUCCCACUGAGUCAAGGUGGGAGCAGGGUCAGUGCCUUCCCAGGCUCUGCGGGAGAAUCUGUUUCCUGGCCCUGGAGGCGGCCUGUACUCCUUAGCUUGUGCUGCCCUUCUGGAAUGACUCGAGUUUCCUGCUUUCAUCACUACACCUCCCACCGCUCUCCAUCACCUGCUGUGCUCUUACGAGGAUCCAGCUGAGACAUGUUUUAGGAAGUUUGCUAAAAGACCCCUGGAGACGUCCUCAUUGUGGCCUCCCUGCUGUUGUGUUUAAUUUGGUUGAUCUUCUCUGCCCUCCUGCUUUUCAGAAUUAAAAGGCUAAAAAGAGUUUUCAGAGAAAUGGAAUAAUUGUAUUGCUGAUCUACGUAAACAAGUUGAAGAAUUGUCUGAAAGAAAAUAUGGUGUGUCUGAACUGGAAAAGUCCUGUGAUAGUUUGUUCAUGAGCAUUUACACAAUGGAGUUACUGUUCAUCAUGGGGGUACUGUGGACAAGCCCAGGGCUGCUGACAUAAUCUUAUGAAUUCAACACAUGAAGAUUUACAACUUGAUAAACCAGCUUCAGGAGAUCAGAACUUCUUACAAUACAACUGAUGUUACUCAGCCUAGAACAAAUACAACAGGGAUUGUGCUGCAUUCUGACUUAGGUUCUGCCAUCGAACACAGAAUGCCCUGAUCCUUAGAGGCAGAGGCAGCUCUUCAGCCUAUGGGAAAACUGUGGAUUUAGUUACUCCACUCUGCCAUGUCCUUCCACCACUGCCUGCACAUUUGAGACCAAGGAUAGAGAUUGGGAAAAAUCCAUAGUUCUCCUGACUCAGAGUUUGGCUCCGGCACUCUCAUUUCAGCCAUAGCUGCAGACAAAGCACACGACUGCUGGGCACUGUGGCUCAAGAGAAGGGGGAGAUGCAGGAAGAAGAUGAGCCUUAAGUCUGAACACUGAGGAAUUCAUGUGCAUCAGUCAGACCUCCUGUGCAAGGAAGGAUGUGGUUACUACGGCAACCCUGCCUGGCAGGGUUUCUGCUCCAAGUGCUGGAGGGAAGAGUACCACAAAGCCAGGCAGAAGGAGAUUCAGGAGGACUGGGAGCUGGCGGAGCGACUCCAGUGGGAGGAAGAGGCCUUUGCCAGCAGUCAGAGCAGCCAAGGGGCCCAAUCCCUCACAUUCUCCAAGUUUGAAGGAAAGAAAACCAACGAGAAGACCCACGAGGUUACCACAGUGAAGAAAUCUUCAGUGCGUCUUCCAGGGUCGGAUCAAAGAAGGCAGAAAUUCAGGAAGCAAAAGCCAGUCCUUCCAUAAACCGGCGAACCAGCAUUGAAACGGAUAGAGUGUCUAAGGAGUUCAUAGAAUUUCUCAAGACCUUCCACAAGACAGGCCAAGAAAUCUAUAAACAGACCAAGCUGUUUUUGGAAGGGAUGCAUUACAAAAGGUGCCUCCAGAAAGGGUUGAGAAGAUAAUGGAUCAGAUUGAAAAGUACAUCAUGACUCAUCUCUGUAAAUAUGCGUUCUGUCCAGAACCCCAGUGAGCCUGGAAGACUGGGUGCUAUGGGAAAUGUCAUCAAUCCAAUGCUAGUGAAAGAUGUGACUGGGGAAUGCUGAAAAAUGCGCACCCCUGGGAGGAAUGAGGAAAGAUGACAUCCACUGACUUGUUAUUUUUUUGAGAAGGAGUCUUGCUCUGUUGCCCAGGCUGGAGUGUGGUGGCACGAUCUCGGCUCACUGAUGAUGAGAAGAAAGAUCUUGCCAUUCAAAAGAGGAUCAGAGUGGAAGCUUCUCUGUGGUGUCAGAAAGACGAGGAAUGUGGUGACCUCACCUAUCCAUCUCCCUCAAGGCAGCUUUUGUUUUUCUGCAGUGACCGUACUUGCAAUAAUUAAACAUAGUUGGUCAUUUAAAAUACAUCUCUGAUACUCUCGUCAAAGGUGGAGCCCAGUCCCUAUCGCCUUGAGUGAGGGCUGGGUUACGUGAUUCCCUUCUGACAGAUAGGAAAAAGCAAAAGUGAUGGCUUGCAACUUUGCAAACUACAUCAUAAAAGGUACUGUGGCUUCCUCCUUGCUCACUCUUUGAUUACUCACUUGGGAAAGCCAGCUGUCACACCAUGACACCUAAGCAGCCUGUAGAGAGGCUCAUGUAACAGGAACUGAGGCCUCCUGUCAGCAGUCACAUGAGGGAGCCAUCUUGGAAACAGGCUUUAGGUGACUGCAGUCUCAGUGGACAGCUUGAGUGCAAUGUCAUGAGACACCCUGAGCCCAAAUGACCCAGCUAUGCCACUCCUGAAUUCCUGACCCACAGAAAUGGAGAUCCUAACUUAAGUUCUUGGACUCACUGAGGCAGUAAAAGAACCAUAUCCUGUGUUUGAAUCAAAUCCCAAGUUCCUGUACGUAGAAGGUUUGCCAGACAGGAUUCCCUUUCGAAGCCCUCCUGGUUUGGAAUUCCAUGACUUGAAAGGAUCGUCCAUGGGAGUAAUAAAAUCAAAUUUGUUGGUAAAAAACCUGAACUGGUUAUUUCCUACUUGCCUCCUGGAGUUGCUAAUAAAAUAAACACUAAAGCUUCGCAGUUUCUAAAAAGACCAUGAAGCCCUGAGAGUAAUGAAAAGGUUCCUGAAAUUGAGGUCACUGUGGAAGCUGAGGCACAUGCCUUGGGAGCUAAGUGGCUGCUGCACUUGACCACUAUGAAGACUGGUGUGGGAAGAAUCCUUUUGGAUGCACUUGCAGGGGCCCCUAAUCCCUGGGUCACAGGACUAUAAUGGGCUACAUGGCAGGAGAUGGGACCAUCUAGUUGCAGGAAAAGAAGGUCAAGACUCCCAGUCAUUCUACAUUAUGCCUCAGCCAAGAUGUCUCACCCCACUCUCUCUGAUGCAACAAGAAGCCCCUGGAGAACGUUUCAGUCCCAUUUUGUACUUCUGUCAUGUGCUCAUCACAGUCUGGUGGAAUUUAAAUGACCUCUUAUCAAGAUGGAUAAACCCAAGUUUCCCAGUGCUGGAAUAUAGAAAAUGGAUGGACAAGUAAGUCCCACUCAGCACCCAUAGCCCAGACAUGGGGACCUCAACACACCUGGGCCCCAGACAUCACCUUUCAUUCCGAGGCAUAUGCCAUUCAAGCUAAGGGUGCUACACUUGACCACUGCGGCAGUAUAGAUGAGUCUGAAGAAUGGUAUGGGAUGGAUACUUACGAAUGCACUCGAGCAGGGGUCUCCAUCCACAGGGCCACAGAGCCAGAGGUGAGCAGCAGCUGGAUCUACCAUGAAAGACUUCAGAGUCCAGGAAGAGAGACUGAUUGGGCAACAUGUUAUUCAGUUACAAAAAGACUUGGACUAUGACUCAAAAAUGAUCAAAUAAUAGUGCAUGCAUCCAAUGCAAUAAGAAGCACUUCUGGAGGGUGAGAGAAGCAUCCAGUUAAGGUGACAUUGAAGCUGGGUCCUGAAAGAUGAGGAAGAAUUGUAUGAGAGUGGGCAGAGAAGGGGGAGGUGGAGGGAUGGGGAAUGGGCUGAGAUGGAGUGAGCUGCUCAAGCAGGGAAACCAGCACUGUAAAGACCUGGUCAAUAAAGAUGGCACAUUUUAUUCAGGGAAUGGUGAAUUAAUUGUGGCAGGAAUGCUUUGGAGAGAGAGUAAUUUGCUUGUAUGGAAUUUUGCCCAAGAGACCUCAUUACAGUUUCUAAUCUUUUGAUGUUAUCGUCUAUCACUGUCCUUGUCAGAUAGUUUGGAAUAGGUAUAAUGAUCACAAUAACAUCAAGCAUAAUAUUUCAUUAAUUCUCACAAAAUCACAGGUAGGUGCCACAGUUAUCCCCAUUUUGUGAAUGAAGUGAUGAAGACUUAGGAAUGAUGAGUGAUUGCCCAAGCUCACCUGGAUAUUAAGAGGUCUUGCUCUGUUGUCCAGGCUGGAAUGUGGUAGUGCUAU
rnacentral:lncRNA from 1 species